rnacentral:rRNA from 1 species
UACGAAGGGGGCUAGCGUUGUUCGGAAUCACUGGGCGUAAAGCGCACGUAGGCGGAUUCUUAAGUCAGGGGUGAAAUCCCGAGGCUCAACCUCGGAACCGCCUUUGAUACUGGGGAUCUCGAGUCCGGGAGAGGUGAGUGGAAUUGCAGGUGUAGCGGUGAAAUGCGUAGAUAUCUGCAGGAACACCCGUGGCGAAAGCGGCGCGCUGGACCACUACUGACGCUGAGGAACGAAAGCUAGGGGAGCAAACAGG